ensembl:lincRNA Gm4872 predicted gene 4872
AGACAAACGUUGCCAGCUGCAGCCUCACCAAUGGCUCCGAGUUGGGCCUUGGUUCAUCACGAACUCUGUGAUUCCAGAGUUACUGACACUUCACUACCCCAGACACUCAAGAGAUCAGUGUGAAUUUUGUUCCAGUGUGGCAGCUCUGGAGGAUAGUGACUGUCAUGAUGCCCACUGUGAAAAUAUCAAUUCUUAUUUUAUUUACAGGAGAAAGUUCUUCCUUAUUUAGCCUUUCUCAGAGGUUGCCUGUCACCUGCUAGGGUACACAAAGGAGAAAGAAGGAUGGCCAACGAGCCAGAGGACAGCAGAUUGCCAAGCCAAGAGCAGUGUCUUUUAUGUUCUUUGAUAACUGUUCGAGUUCCCGCUCCUAUUCCUUCCAUCUAUUAAUGAACAUCCUGGCCUUUAAUCAUCGAUAUCAUUUCAUAGAGACUUUUGCAUGAGUCUCCCCUCGCCUUUGCUUCUCAGAACAUCUGUUUCCCAGACCUUCUUUUGAGAAUGAGCAUAUACAUGGCAGCUUUCCCCUUCUCUGAGCCACGGAGCUGCAUUUUCUAUGCACCUUCAAGCAUUAACUAGAAAAUCAAGCUAAAUGUACCAUAUUUUGCUAUAAUUGCAGUCUAGGGGGAGAAAUUCUUGUUAAUUAGGUAUCCAAGAAAGCUAUGUGGCCCAUAUGUAAGGUGGAAUGUAUAGUUCACAGUCAUAAUGUUUGGUAAUAAAUGGAUAGUGAUGAAUGAAAAGAACAAAUGUAAAUUAACAUCCUCCAAAUAAAUCAAACAGUUUAGAUGAUUGGGCCACUCAUGGCAACCAUGUGCAACUGGUUCUGGUUGGCACUUUAAAGUGUCUGAUUUUAGUUUGCCUAAAAUUAUUCUUUUAAUAAACAAGUGUAGUUUAAGAGGUAUUCUGGUACCAUCUGAUAGGCACAGAUUGACUGUGUUUGCAAUGUGAUAGUAACAGUACUAUUCUGAUUAUUCAUCAUGGAGUCUUUGGUGUUGGGCUGGAUGAUGGUUGAAAUUAAGGAAUUAUCCCUCAGAUAAGGUCUCUUCCCUUUAGGAAUUUAUUCUCCACAGUUAUGUGCAUUAGCCUGAGUCACAUACAGGACAACCUCAUCACUGACCUGGAAGAGUCCCCUGUUAAUAAUGAUGACUAUGUACCUAGGGCUUCCUGUGAGCCAGGGUCACUUCGAAUUCUUAGUUUCCCACAGGAGUGUAUUACCUAAGAUAGUGUUUAUAUCUACAACUAGAAACCAUCAGUUAAGGAUGAUUGACACGCCUUGUCUCUGGUAGUAUAAGAAUCUAUAACUU